GCAGUAGCCGCGGGAAUACAGAGGGUGCGAGCGUUAAUCGGAUUUACUGGGCGUAAAGCGUGCGUAGGCGGCUUCUUAAGUCGGAUGUGAAAUCCCUGAGCUUAACUUAGGAAUUGCAUUCGAUACUGGGAAGCUAGAGUAUGGGAGAGGAUGGUAGAAUUCCAGGUGUAGCGGUGAAAUGCGUAGAGAUCUGGAGGAAUACCGAUGGCGAAGGCAGCCAUCUGGCCUAAUACUGACGCUGAGGUACGAAAGCAUGGGGAGCAAACAGGAUUAGAGACCCCGGUAGUCCCUGUCUCUUAUAC
rnacentral:rRNA from 1 species